rnacentral:rRNA from 1 species
AUGAACGCUGGCGGCGUGCCUCAUCCAUGCAAGUCGAGCGAACAGAUGAGGAGCUUGCUCCUCUGACGUUAGCGGCGGACGGGUGAGUAACACGUGGAUAACCUACCUAUAAGACUGGGAUAACUUCGGGAAACCGGAGCUAAUACCGGAUAAUAUAUUGAACCGCAUGGUUCAAUAGUGAAAGACGGUUUUGCUGUCACUUAUAGAUGGAUCCGCGCCGCAUUAGCUAGUUGGUAAGGUAACGGCUUACCAAGGCAACGAUGCGUAGCCGACCUGAGAGGGUGAUCGGCCACACUGGAACUGAGACACGGUCCAGACUCCUACGGGAGGCAGCAGUAGGGAAUCUUCCGCAAUGGGCGAAAGCUUGACGGAGCAACGCCGCGUGAGUGAUGAAGGUCUUCGGAUCGUAAAACUCUGUUAUUAGGGAAGAACAAAUGUGUAAGUAACUAUGCACGUCUUGACGGUACCUAAUCAGAAAGCCACGGCUAACUACGUG